CUUUUCGGUCAUAGCACCCGGAAACCAUCUGUUCCCUUUCCGAACACAGAAAUUAAGACGGGCCGCGUUGCAGUUAAGUAGUGAUAUCUCAAAUAUCGCGAACCUGUGAAUCUGAAAAGU
rnacentral:rRNA from 1 species